AACGAACGCUGGCGGCAGGCUUAACACAUGCAAGUCGAACGCCCCGCAAGGGGAGUGGCAGACGGGUGAGUAACGCGUGGGAAUCUACCCAGAUCUUCGGAACAACUGAGGGAAACUUCAGCUAAUACCGGAUACGCCCUACAGGGGGAAAGAUUUAUCGGUUCUGGAUGAGCCCGCGUUGGAUUAGCUAGUUGGUGGGG
rnacentral:rRNA from 1 species